rnacentral:rRNA from 1 species
UACGAAGGGGGCUAGCGUUGUUCGGAAUCACUGGGCGUAAAGGGUGCGUAGGCGGGUCUUUAAGUCAGGGGUGAAAUCCUGGAGCUCAACUCCAGAACUGCCUUUGAUACUGAGGAUCUUGAGUUCGGGAGAGGUGAGUGGAACUGCGAGUGUAGAGGUGAAAUUCGUAGAUAUUCGCAAGAACACCAGUGGCGAAGGCGGGUCUCUGGGCCGAUACUGACGCUGAGGAGCGAAAGCGUGGGGAGCGAACAGG